CUCAUCUUCACGACAAAUAUGUCAGUAUCUACCAUAAUCAAGAUUGAUGACUACGCGUUUGAGCACAUCUUACACGCCACACAUGACCUGCUGAACUCCUAAUAAAAAGAAAAUAUAUUCACCUGAAACAAUGUAAGACUAACAAGAAAA